rnacentral:rRNA from 1 species
AUUGAACGCUGGCGGCAUGCUUUACACAUGCAAGUCGAACGGCAGCGGGGGCUUCGGCCUGCCGGCGAGUGGCGAACGGGUGAGUAAUGCAUCGGAACGUGCCCAUGUCGUGGGGGAUGACGUAUCGAAAGGUACGCUAAUACCGCAUACGUCCUGAGGGAGAAAGCGGGGGAUUCUUCGGAACCUCGCGCGAUUGGAGCGGCCGAUGUCGGAUUAGCUAGUAGGUGAGGUAAAGGCUCACCUAGGCGACGAUCCGUAGCGGGUCUGAGAGGAUGAUCCGCCACACUGGGACUGAGACACGGCCCAGACUCCUACGGGAGGCAGCAGUGGGGAAUUUUGGACAAUGGGCGCAAGCCUGAUCCAGCCAUGCCGCGUGAGUGAAGAAGGCCUUCGGGUUGUAAAGCUCUUUCGGCCGGGAAGAAAUCGUGUUCUCUAACAUAGGACAUGGAUGACGGUACCGGACUAAGAAGCACCGGCUAACUACGUGCCAGCAGCCGCGGUAAUAC